CACAGGGUGUGUUACAGUCUUCCAUAACCCAACAAUUUAUUUAAAAUUGAAUCACAAUGAGAGUCUGUUAAUAAAAUACAUUAUUUCACACCAGUUUGCAUUGCCAUUGUAUUUUUUAGAGUUAGCAUCUCUCUUUACUUUAUAUUAAAAACUUUAUAGAGUUAUAAAAGAACUACUGUACUGUAUCAACAGUAGCUGAAAUCUACUGUAACAUUAGGCAGGUAAGAGGAAACUUCUAGUUAGCUAACACUUGAGUUAACCUUGCAUUUUUGGCACCUCUGAAUCUUUCUUCCUUGAACAAGAAAAUUGGUUCCAUAUCAAGCCAGUAAAAUCACUGACAUGAACAAUGGCAGUGAUUGUCACCAUUAAGUGGCAAAUGCUGCCUAAAAUCAUAUAAAAUGCACUUUUUGAUAAAAAAUAGAAAUUCUGAUUUUUUUCAUCGGAGUGCUUAGCAUUUGAACACAAUGACAGCACACCUCCCACCCCUUAUUGUGUUAUGGCUAAUGUCAUUUUGCUGUGAGAUUUCAAUUAGUAUUUCAGUCUUAGAUAUUUUAAACAGGAAGUUGAUUACUUUUGUGCUGGCCAUGAGGGUCACCCCCCAUCCCCUCAGGUGUCUGUUCAAAAGGAAGCUUUAACUGUUCUUUGAAUGAAAUGAUUGAACACAUUUUGAGGCACAAUAUCCCUUCAUGAUUUAGCAGUUUACUGGCUGUCAAUCAUACAAAGGAAAUUUUAAAACAUUAAGAGCAUUGAAACUCAGUGAUCCACUGAUAAAGCCUGGAGUCCACUUUCCUGGGAUAAAGGUGACUUUUGCAUUAGAAAUAAAAGGGAUUCACAAGGCAUGUAGCAUUGUGAAUUAUUGUGCCAGGCCUGUGUUUACGCAACAGUGCAGUUGCUUUUGUAAAUAUUUAGAAUUUAUAAACUGUUUUUUCCCCCUUUCUUCACAUUAUAAACUCCAGCUGCUUCUAUCUUUAUAUAUUAUACUCAGCAUUAAAAAGAAACCCAUGCUAUUUUUAACUGCUUUUUUUGGCUUGUAAGCUAUAUUAUUCCAGUGAGUUUUUGGCACAAUAUCUAGGGAGUGUUCUAUGUAACUGAGUGCAGACUCCAUGUACCAGUCUUUAUUAUUGUAUUGCUUACUUGCUUUCUGACUGAACUACCCCUGGAGUCACAAAGAAAUUGGAAUAUUCUACUGUGGGGUGAAACAUAUUUUAAUUAGAACUAAAAGCAUCUUAUGGCUUUGGUUCCAAAGGGACAAGGAUUUUUCCGACAGCAUUGGCCAGUACGUUUUCUUUUAUGGAGAAGAAAAUGCAAGUUUGUAUGAGCCACAGCAUGAUUUAGUUCCAUGCUCUUUUUCAAAGUAUCAUUCAAAGCAAACAAAAAUAGGAAUGAUAUAUCUAAUUCAUUUUCAAUAAUAGAUUUACUUUCUCUCUUGGGCUUUGAUUCACGCCCAAGCUGCUGGGAGCAGGCUCUGUCUUAGCAUUUUCUCAGAAAAGGACUAUUUGAAGAAAGGGCCCGUUUAUCUGAUAUACUAGCAGGGGGGAAGGGAGCAAUAAUUGAGAGGAAUAUUUGAAAUUCAUGAGAAUCAAAAAUUUCAAGGAGUUCCUAGUACUUUUCUUUGCCUAUAAUCCCCGUUUCUAAAAGAUAACCCUGCCAAAACCUCCAACUCCUUUAAGACUAAAAUUUGCCUCAUUCAUAUUGAGAAUUUAUCUUCUGCAAUCAUUUUUACUUCGCACUCGGCAUUCAUGCUGUACACACUGUUGAAGUCAACGGGAGUCCUAGGGAAGGAACAGGUAAAGAAUAAACAGCGCAGGUGAAAAAUCUUUCAGUGUAGAUCAGUAUGCUGGAAAGUGAAAACAAGCGUAUGCAGGUAUAAAAAGUUUUGUAAGAAAAGAAGAAAGCUUGGUUAAAAUGGACCAAGUAGGAGCUCAGGAACUCCAAAUAGCUAUAGUGCAAUUCAUACUGAUUUGAUAAGCAGCAGUUAGAAAUACUUAUGUGGCAAAGGCAAUGAUCACAGCUGAAAAAAGUGAAAGUAAGAAUAAAAGCAAUAUACUGUCAAUAUAUUUUUGCCCUUGAAGAAUGGAUCUACAUAUUGCCUUUGAGCGUGGAACAGCCCGGGUAUGGCAAACUGUACAGCAGUGUAUUCCCCUUUAUUUCAUAUAAAAAGGGCUCAAAGCUGGGAUUAAUAAGGCACAAACCUGGGAAAAAUAGAGUAGUUAACAAGAAAUGAGUGUAUUAUUUAUUAGAUGUAACUUAGCAAUUACUUCUCCUUUGUCCCCAAAAUGCUCCAAAGCAAAAUAUAUUUCCCACAUUCUUUCCCCCAUCCAUUUCUUUUGGAUAAAGCUGCCUUUGCUAUAGAGAUACAGUUGCUCAAGAACAGAAUAUAUUGUGAACACAGCUAAAUACAACAUACAAAACAGAAAUGCAUUAAAAU